rnacentral:misc_RNA from 1 species
UCCGGUUUGACACCGGCAGUCUCCCAUGAGUCCCCGACAUUACUCGCUGGCAACAUAGGAUAAGGGUUGCGCUCGUUGCGGGACUUAACCCAACACCUCACGGCACGAGCUGACGACAACCAUGCACCACCUGUAUACCGGCCUAAAAGGAAACCGUGUUUCCACGGCUGUCCGGUAUAUUUCAAGCCCUGGUAAGGUUCUUCGCGUUGCUUCGAAUUAAGCCACAUGCUCCGCCGCUUGUGCGGGCCCCCGUCAAUUCCUUUGAGUUUUAGCCUUGCGGCCGUAGUCCCCAGGCGGGGUGCUUAAUGCGUUAGCUGCGGCACGGAAGAAGUGGAUUAUCUCCCACACCUAGCACCCAUCGUUUACAGCGUGGACUAC